rnacentral:rRNA from 1 species
CCUACGGGAGGCAGCAGUGAGGAAUAUUGGUCAAUGGGCGUACGCCUGAACCAGCCAAGCCGCGUGAGGGAAGACUGCCCUCUGGGUUGUAAACCUCUUUUGUCAGGGAGCAAUUGGCGCUACGUGUAGCGUUAUCGAGAGUACCUGAAGAAAAAGCAUCGGCUAACUCCGUGCCAGCAGCCGCGGUAAUACGGAGGAUGCGAGCGUUAUCCGUAUUUAGUGGGUUUAAAGGGUGCGUAGGCGGAAUGCCAAGUCAGCGUUAAAAUCGCGGGUUUAAACCUCGUUCCGCCGUUGAAACUGGCGUUCUUGAGUGGGCGAGAGGUAUGCGGAAUGCGUGGUGUAGCGGUGAAAUGCAUAGAUAUCACGCGGAACUCCGAUUGCGAAGGCGGCAUACCGGCGCCCAACUGACGCUGAAGCACGAAAGCGUGGGGAGCGAACAGGAUUAGAUACCCCAGUAGUC